GUUGGGUUUCGCGGCGCUCGCCGCACUGGUUGUUCAGCACCUUCGGUCCGGUUGAGGUUGUCAAGUCGGACCAAACAGGUUGUUUCUCUGCAGUUUCCAUUACGAAAGAUGAGUAUUUAGUACUCCAUUUGUGCUGUUUUCCUUUUGUGGUAUCAUUCAGCCUUGUGGCUUCAAACAUUGUACUGAAGAUUCUCAGACUUAUUACUACAUGGCAGGGAGGUUUAAUAGACAUGGAUAAGAAGUCCACUCACAGAAAUCCUGAAGAUGCCAGGGCUGGCAAAUAUGAAGGUAAACACAAACGAAAGAAAAGAAGAAAGCAAAACCAAAACCAGCACCGAUCCCGACAUAGAUCAGUGACGUCUUUUUCUUCAGAUGAUCCUAUGUUUCCUUCUUCCUCAUCAUCGUCUUCAGGAAGCCAGACAGAUUCAAGUAUUGAAGUAACACAGACCCUCUGUAGAAUACCCAGGAGGGAUAGGAAUGAAUCAGAGAUGCUGCCAAGGGAAAAAUUAAGAAGAAGAGAAGAGAGAAAACAAAUAAAUGGGAAAAAAGAAAGGACAAAAUAUGAAACACCAAGAAAAAGAGAAGGAAAAAAAGGAGGAAACAACCACAUAUGUCACCUUUCCAAGAGGGACUGAAACUGGGCUGACCCUUUUGAUUUCCAAGCUCAGCGUUUUGGUGUAAGGCGGCCAAAGAAGGAUGCGGAGCCCAGCACUGUGAAGCCUACAAAAACAUUGAUGCGCUGGCUUGGGGAUUUGAAUUUGAACAUCUUUCACACUAAGUUCAGACUCAUGAAACCAAUCUUCAGAUGCUCUGUAAACCACAUAAUAAAGAGUUUGGAAAUUA
rnacentral:lncRNA from 1 species